UAACCAGUUGGCAAAUUAAACUUAAAUUGGAUGCUCAGAAUUUUGCAUUCAACUUUAAAAAGCAUUUGAAAGCUUACGACGAGCUUAAGAAUUGGGGUAUGUAGUGUAGAAGAUGAUCCAACAACUUAUCCGGAACCACCUUCUUAUACGUUUGGGUUUUAAAACAGUCAUUUAUAUAUUCCACAUAGUGUAGUUCUGAUAAACAUCAGUAAUUUGAAUGUGGAAUGUGGUGUAUACUUUUUAUAAAAAUAUUCAGCUUUUGAAAUAUAAGGUGCUAAAUUCAUGGUCAGCAUGACAGGGGUGAAUUUAUUAAAUGGCGACGAUAAAGUAAGUCUGCUAUUUUCUUUUUUAUUAAACGAUCAACACAAAAUUUAUUAAUAGAUAUAUAUGUACGAUAUAUAUUGUGGAAUCUGGGAAAGAUGUAUUAAAUUAAGAAAUUUCAUCAUAGAGUGAAGGUUUUGAAUCAAAUAUCUUAGGGGGAGAUUUUACAGAAUGUAUCAUAAAUGAAAAUAUAAUCAACAUAUUUUUUU